AUUGUACGCUGGCGGCAGGCCCAACACAUGCAAGUCGAGCGAGCGGCGGACGGGUGAGUAAUGUCUGGGAAACUGCCUGAUGGGGGGGGAUAACUACUUGAAACGGUAGCUAAUACCGCAUACCAUCAGAUGUGCCCAUAUGGGAUUAGCUGGUGGGUGGGGUAACGGCUCACCUAGGCGACGCACCCUAGCUGGUCUGAGAGGAUGACCAGCCACACUGGAACGGAGCCACGGUCCAACCUCCUACGGGAGGCAGCAGUGGGGAAUAUUGCACAAUGGGAGCAAGCCUGAUGCAGCCAUGCCGCGUGUGUGAAGAAGGCCUUCGGGUUGUAAAGCACUUUCAGCGGGGAAGCGUUACCCGCAGAAGAAGCACCGGCUAACUCCGUGCCAGCAGCCGCGGUAAUUC
rnacentral:rRNA from 1 species